CCUACGGGGUGCAGCAGUGGGGGAUAUUGCACAAUGGGGGAAACCCUGAUGCAGCGACGCCGCGUGGGUGAAGAAGCGCCUCGGCGCGUAAAGCCCUGUCAGCAGGGAAGAAAAUGACGGUACCUGAAGAAGCAGCCCCGGAUAACUACGCGCCAGCAGCCGCGGUAAUACGUAGGGGGCAAGCGUUAUCCGGAUUUUCGGGGUCGAAAGGGGGAGCAGACUGCGAGGCAAGCCAGGAGUGAAAUACCGGGGCCCAACCCCGGGACUGCUCUUGGAACGGCGUGGAUGGAGUGCAGGAGGGGCAGGCGGAAUUCCAGGUGUAGCGGUGAAAUGCGUAGAGAUCAGGAGGAACACCGGUGGCGAAGGCGGCCGGAUGGACUGCAACUGACGUUGAGGCCCGAAAGCGUGGGGAGCAAACAGGAUUAGAUACCCUAGUAGUC
rnacentral:rRNA from 1 species